rnacentral:rRNA from 1 species
UUGAUCUUAGUUGCCAGCAUUCAGUUGGGCACUCUAAGGUGACUGCCGGUGACAAACCGGAGGAAGGUGGGGAUGACGUCAAAUCAUCAUGCCCCUUAUGACCUGGGCUACACACGUGCUACAAUGGGCAGAACAAAGGGCAGCGAAACCGCGAGGUUAAGCCAAUCCCACAAAUCUGUUCUCAGUUCGGAUCGCAGUCUGCAACUCGACUGCGUGAAGCUGGAAUCGCUAGUAAUCGCGGAUCAGCAUGCCGCGGUGAAUACGUUCCCGGGCCUUGUACACACCGCCCGUCACACCACGAGAGUUUGUAACACCCGAAGUCGGUGAGGUAACCUUUAUGGAGCCAGCCGCCGAAGGUGGGACAGAUGAUUGGGGUGAAGUCGUAACAAGGUAGCCGUAUCGGAAGGUGCGGCUGGAUCACCUCCUUU